rnacentral:rRNA from 1 species
UCGCAGAGACGAGUAGAGUGGCGCACGUGUGAGUAACACGUGGAUAAUCUACCUUCAAAUCGGGAAUAACCAUUCGAAAGGAUGGCUAACGCCGGAUAAAGUCAGAAAUUCUUUGGAGUUUUUGAUGAAAGGGUGCCUCUGAUUAAAGCAUCUGUUUGAAGAUGAGUCCGCGCACCAUUAGUUUGUUGGUGGGGUAACGGCCUACCAAGACUGCGAUGGUUAGCUGGUCUGAGAGGAUGAUCAGCCACACUGGAACUGACACACGGUCCAGACUCCUACGGGAGGCAGCAGUGAGGAAUUUUGCGCAAUGGGGGAAACCCUGACGCAGCAACGCCGCGUGAGUGAAGAAGGCCCUUGGGUCGUAAAGCUCUGUCAAUGGGGAAGAAGUUACUUCAUAUUAAUAGUAUGUUGUAUUGACGGUACCCAUGAAGGAAGCACCGGCUAACUCCGUGCCAGCAGCCGCGGUAAUACGGGGGGUGCAAGCGUUAUUCGGAAUUAUUGGGCGUAAAGGGCACGCAGGCGGUCCUGUCAGUCAGAUGUGAAAGCCCGGGGCUCAACCCCGGACGUGCAUUUGAAACAGCAGGACUUGAGUACGGGAGAGGAAAGGGGAAUUCCUGGUGUAGAGGUGAAAUUCGUAGAUAUCAGGAGGAACACCGGUGGCGAAGGCGCCUUUCUGGACCGAUACUGACGCUGAGGUGCGAAGGCGUGGGUAGCGAACGGGAUUAGAUACCCCGGUAGUCCACGCAGUAAACGUUGUAUGCUAGGUGUAGCGGGUAUUGACCCCUGCUGCGCCGCAGUUAACACAUUAAGCAUACCGCCUGGGGAGUACGGUCGCAAGACUAAAACUCAAAGAAAUUGACGGGGGCCCGCACAAGCGGUGGAGCAUGUGGUUUAAUUCGACGCAACGCGAAGAACCUUACCCAGACUUGACAUCUUGAGAAUCCUUUAGAAAUUUAGGAGUGCCUUCGGGAGCUCAAAGACAGGUGCUGCAUGGCUGUCGUCAGCUCGUGUCGUGAGAUGUUUGGUUAAGUCCAGCAACGAGCGCAACCCUUGUCUUCAGUUGCCAGCACAUAAUGGUGGGAACUCUGAAGAGACUGCCCCGGUUAACGGGGAGGAAGGUGGGGAUGACGUCAAGUCCUCAUGGCCCUUAUGUCUGGGGCUACACACGUGCUACAAUGGUAUGUACAACGGGCAGCAAGCGUGCGAGCGC